CCGCGCGCCUCCCUCAGUACUGACUAACUUGAAAACAGCCCCGCAGCUUCUAGACGAGACGGGAGACAAAAUGGAGGGCAGACGCCUGCUAGCGAACGCGCGUCACGACUGAGUCACUUUGGGAGAAACUGGACAGUUCCCAACUGCCUAUUGCAGUUAACCAACAUUAAAAUCCUAAAAAAGCGGCCCCACCCGUGACGACUGCCUCCUACUAGGGUGGGGUUCACAGUGGUGCAAAUGGCUUGGAACUUUCCGGUCUGGAAGGUGAUGGGAAUAUUCCAGAAGAAAUAAUAUUCUUUUGAGGUGAUUAAUAGUGAUCCUAUUCCUACUCUUCAAGUAUUUUUGAGCAGAGGAACCAAAUCUGCACAGAUGGAAAAAUAUCAAGAGGAACAUUCUCAUGGGAAUAACUAGGAUUCCCUCCCUGAUUACAAUAAUGAAUAAGCCAUACUGUCUGAUCAGAGCACUGUCAAUAAGAUGGGACCAUUUCCCUUGAACCAUUUCUCUACCUACCUGACCCAUUUGUUCUUCCUUUAAGGCCUG